rnacentral:rRNA from 1 species
AUUGAACGCUGGCGGCAUGCUUUACACAUGCAAGUCGAACGGUAACAGGCCGCAAGGUGCUGACGAGUGGCGAACGGGUGAGUAAUGCAUCGGAACGUGCCCAGUCGUGGGGGAUAACGCAGCGAAAGCUGUGCUAAUACCGCAUACGAUCUAUGGAUGAAAGCGGGGGACCGUAAGGCCUCGCGCGAUUGGAACGGCCGAUGUCAGAUUAGGUAGUUGGGGGGGUAAAGGCCCACCAAGCCAACGAUCUGUAGCUGGUCUGAGAGGACGACCAGCCACACUGGGACUGAGACACGGCCCAGACUCCUACGGGAGGCAGCAGUGGGGAAUUUUGGACAAUGGGCGCAAGCCUGAUCCAGCAAUGCCGCGCGCAGGAAGAAGGCCUUCGGGUUGUAAACUGCUUUUGUACGGAACGAAACGGUCUGGGUUAAUACCCUGGGCUAAUGACGGUACCGUAAGAAUAAGCACCGGCUAACUACGUGCCAGCCGCCGCCGUAA